rnacentral:rRNA from 1 species
GAUGAACGCUAGCUACAGGCUUAACACAUGCAAGUCGAGGGGCAGCAUUUCUUUAGCAAUAAAGAAGAUGGCGACCGGCGCACGGGUGAGUAACACGUAUCCAAUCUGCCUUUUACUCGGGGAUAGCCUUUCGAAAGAAAGAUUAAUACCCGAUGGUAUAUAGUUUCCGCAUGGAGAUUAUAUUAAAGAAUUUCGGUAAAAGAUGAGGAUGCGUUCCAUUAGAUUGUUGGUAGGGUAACGGCUUACCAAGUCUACGAUGGAUAGGGGUUCUGAGAGGAAGGUCCCCCACACUGGUACUGAGACACGGACCAGGCUCCUACGGGAGGCAGCAGUGAGGAAUAUUGGUCAAUGGGCGAGAGCCUGAACCAGCCAAGUAGCGUGAAGGAUGACUGCCCUAUGGGUUGUAAACUUCUUUUAUAUGGGAAUAAAUGACAUUACGUGUAGUGUUUUGUAUGUACCAUUAUGAAUAAGCAUCGGCUAACUCCGUGCCAGCAGCCGCAGUAAGAC